UAACUGCUGGGGCCCAUGUGCCACAAUCACCCUUUUUGCUGGUGAUGGAAUGCAGAGGUGCCUUUAGGAGAGCAGGAUAGCUGCUUUCUUCAGUGGGCCAGGAGCAGGCUCCCUUCCAGCUUCCUCAGUGCUGCCGUUUAAGCCUUCAGUCCAGGGCAGAAAGGUCUUAAAAUACAAAUAUGCAAAUAUAUAUAUGUAUACAAGGACAAUGCGCUGGAGUUUGAGACAGAAACGCCAGCAGCAGCCCCCAGAGUGAACUGCCUCAUCAGCAGCGCGCCUACCGCACCUGGCAGAGCUCGGGGCCAGGUGCUGCGCCCGCAGGCACGCGUUGUCCCGGCGGCAUUACGAAGAUGCCCAUCAGCUGCGCGAGGCCGCGUGCUCGCCACUAACGGUCGCCCGCGGUCCCCUCAGGGCUCAGUCAGCACCGUCCCGAAGCCGAGCCGCUUGGUGGGCUGCCAGCAGGGAGAGCCGUGAUGAAUGGACUGACCAGGGGAUAAUGGCGGACAUUCUGUUGACCUCAGCCUUAAAACAGCUUUUGUUGGUGAGGUUUCUGCAAUGAUAGGUUUAAAGUGGAGACUUGAUGAACUGCAAGCCUGACCAGUUUUGAUGGUGACUGUGUGUUUCUAGUUCUAGCAAUCAAAUA